CUACGGGGGGCACCAGUGAGGAAUAUUGCACAAUGGGGGGAACCCUGAUGCAGCAACGCCGCGUGGAGGAUGACGCAUUUCGGUGUGUAAACUCCUUUUAUAUGUCAAGAAAAUGACGGUAGCAUACGAAUAAGCACCGGCUAACUCCGUGCCAGCAGCCGCGGUAAUACGGAGGGUGCCAGCGUUACUCGGAAUCACUGGGCGUAAAGGACGCGUAGGCGGGUUGGAAAGUCAGGUGUGAAAUCCUACAGCUUAACUGGAGAACUGCACUUGAAACUUCUAAUCUAGAGUAUGGGAGGGGGAGAUGGAAUUAGUGGUGUAGGGGUAAAAUCCGUAGAUAUCACUAGGAAUACCUAAAGCGAAGGCGAUCUCCUGGAACAUUACUGACGCUAAGGCGUGAAAGCGUGGGGAGCAAACAGGAUUAGAUACCCUCGUAGUC
rnacentral:rRNA from 1 species